GGCUCGUUGGUCUAGGGGUAUGAUUCUCGCUUUGGGUGCGAGAGGUCCGGGUUCAAGGGUUCAAAUCCCGGAGCCC